rnacentral:rRNA from 1 species
UACGAAGGGGGCUAGCGUUGCUCGGAAUCACUGGGCGUAAAGCGCACGUAGGCGGAUUGCUAAGUCAGGGGUGAAAUCCUGGAGCUCAACUCCAGAACUGCCUUUGAUACUGGCGGCCUUGAGUCCGGGAGAGGUGAGUGGAACUGCGAGUGUAGAGGUGAAAUUCGUAGAUAUCGGAAGGAACGCCGGUGGCGAAAGCGACGUGCUGGACCUCUACUGACGCUGAGGCGCGGAAAAGCCCAGGGGGAGCAAACGGGG